AGUUUGACCUCAGAUCAGACAAGGAUACCCGCUGAACUUAAGCAUAUCAAUAAGCGGAGGAAAAGAAACCAACAGGGAUUGCCUUAGUAACGGCGAGUGAAGCGGCAAGAGCUCAAAUUUGAAAUCUGAUAUCUUUGGAUGUCCGAGUUGUAAUUUGAAGAGGAAACUUCGGAUUGGACCACGAUCUAUGUGCCUUGGAACAGGUCCGUCAUAGAGGGUGAGAAUCCCGUACACGGUUGAUGGUCUCUUUCCAUGUGAAGUUCCUUCGAAGAGUCGAGUUGUUUGGGAAUGCAGCUCUAAAUGGGUGGUAAAUUUCAUCUAAAGCUAAAUACCGGCGAGAGACCGAUAGCGCACAAGUAGAGUGAUCGAAAGAUGAAAGGCACUUUGAAAAGAGAGUUAAACAGUACGUGAAAUUGUUGAAAGGGAAGCGCUUGCAAUCAGACUUUGCUUUAGUUGAUCAACGUACCUUCUGGUGCGUGCACUCAGCUAUUGCGAGGCCAGCAUCGGUUUGGACGGUGGGACAAAGGCUGCGGGAAUGUGGCUCCCUUCGGGGAGUGUUAUAGCCCGCGGUGCAAUGCCGCCUGCCUGGACCGAGGACCGCGCUUCGGCUAGGAUGCUGGCGUAAUGGUUGUAAGCGACCCGUCUUGAAACACGGACCAAGGAGUCUAACAUCUAUGCGAGUGUUUGGGUGUCAAACCCAUACGCGUAAUGAAAGUGAACGGAGGUGGGAGCCCGCAAGGGUGCACCAUCGACCGGUCCUGAUGUCUUCGGAUGGAUCUGAGUAGGAGCAUAGCUGUUGGGACCCGAAAGAUGGUGAACUAUGCCUGAAUAGGGUGAAGCCAGAGGAAACUCUGGUGGAGGCUCGCA
rnacentral:rRNA from 1 species